rnacentral:rRNA from 1 species
UACGUAGGGGGCUAGCGUUGUCCGGAAUCAUUGGGCGUAAAGCGCGUGUAGGCGGUCCGGUAAGUCCGCUGUGAAAGUCGGGGGCUCAACCCUCGAAUGCCGGUGGAUACUGUCGGGCUAGAGUGCGGAAGAGGCGAGUGGAAUUCCUGGUGUAGCGGUGAAAUGCGUAGAGAUCAGGAAGAACACCGGUGGCGAAAGCGCUCUGCUAGGCCGCAACUGACACUGAGGGACGAAAGCUAGGGGAGCGAAUGGG